rnacentral:rRNA from 1 species
UACGUAGGGACCGAGCGUUGUCCGGAAUCAUUGGGCGUAAAGAGCGUGUAGGCGGCCUUUUAAGUCCUGCGUGAAAUCCUGCGGCUCAACCGCAGACGGUCGUGGGAAACUGGAAGGCUAGAGUGCGGGAGAGGAGAGUGGAAUUCCCGGUGUAGCGGUGAAAUGCGCAGAUAUCGGGAAGAACACCUGUGGCGAAGGCGGCUCUCUGGAACGCAACUGACGCUGAGACGCGAAAGCGUGGGGAGCAAACAGG